rnacentral:rRNA from 1 species
AAUUGGGAUUAGAUACCCCAGUAGUCCUAGCCGUAAACGAUGGAUACUACGGUGUUGUCUGUAUCGACCCGGACAGUGCCGUAGCUAACGCGUUAAGUAUCCCGCCGUCGGGGAGUACGCACGCAAGUGUGAAACUCAAAGGAAUUGACGGGGCCCGCACAAGCGGUGGAGUAUGUGGUUUAAUUCGAUGCAACGCGAAGAACCGUUACCAGGACUUGACAUGUCGCGAAUCUUUUGGAAACAGAAGAGUGCCUUCGGGAGCGCGAACACGAGGUGGUGCAUGGCUGUCGUCAGCUCGUGUCGUGAGAUGUUGGGUUAAGUCCCGCAACGAGCGCAACCCGUUCGUGUUUAGUUGCCAUCCAUUAAGUUGGGCACUCUAAACNGACUGCCGGUGACAAACCGGNGGAAGGUGGGAUGACGUCAAGUCAGCAUGCCCCUUAGUCCUGGGCUACACACGGUACUACAAUGGUAGGACAGAGGGCAGCCAACCCGCGAGGGCAGCUAAUCCCGUAAACCCUGCCUCAGUUCAGAUUCG